rnacentral:SRP_RNA from 1 species
GCGGGGCGUGGUGAGCUUGCCUGUAGUCCCAGCUACUCGGGAGGCUGAGGUGGGAGGAUCGCUUGAGCCCAGGAGUUCUGGGCUGUAGUGUACUAUGACGAUCAGGUGUCUGCACUAAGUUUGGCAUCAAUAUGGUGACCUCCCAGGAGUGGGGGACCACCAGGUUGCCUAAGGAGGGGUGAAUCGGCCCAGGUUGGAAACGGAGCAGGUCAAAACUCCCGUGCUGAGCAGUAGUGGGAUCGCGCCUGUGAAUAGCCACUGCACUCCAGCCUGGGCAACAAAGCGAGACCCCCCACUCU